GUCAUCACUAGUGAUGCCACUAACACCACCCAUUGGUGGUGAGAACAAGGUUGGCUGUCACUCCAAAGCUACAAUGUUUGAAUCCUUUUGAUGGACAAUGGAGAUAGCACCCACCGCUGGUUUGCCUCCCUCCGACGGUAGCUGCUCAUCGCCCUUCUCCUCCCCCUCUAGCUUGGUUUCAUCCUGACUGCACCUCGAUGCCAUCGCCACAUCCCUACCCUCCACAGUCAUUGCAAUCCUUGAUUUGAGCCCAAACACCACAUAGUCCAGGUCGUUGACCAGCCUAGACACCCCU
rnacentral:lncRNA from 1 species